rnacentral:rRNA from 1 species
CUACGGGAGGCAGCAGUAAGGAAUAUUGGACAAUGGACGCAAGUCUGAUCCAGCCAUGCCGCGUGAAGGAUUAAGGCCCUCUGGGUUGUAAACUUCUUUUAUAGGGGACGAAAAAAGGGCUUUCUAGCUCGACUGACGGUACCCUAUGAAUAAGCACCGGCUAACUCCGUGCCAGCAGCCGCGGUAAUACGGAGGGUGCAAGCGUUAUCCGGAUUCACUGGGUUUAAAGGGUGCGUAGGCGGGCAGUUAAGUCAGUGGUGAAAUCUUCGAGCUCAACUCGGAAACUGCCAUUGAUACUAUCUGUCUUGAAUAUUGUGGAGGUGAGCGGAAUAUGUCAUGUAGCGGUGAAAUGCUUAGAUAUGACAUAGAACACCAAUUGCGUAGGCAGCUCGCUACACAAAUAUUGACGCUGAGGCACGAAAGCGUGGGGAUCAAACAGGAUUAGAUACCCUGGU